GCCAGCAGCCAUAUCACCCUGCAACUCACAACUGACAUCCCAAUGAAGCUAAGCAGGUGUGAGCCCAGUCAGUACCUAGAUGAGAGAACCCCUGGGAAAAAAACUAAGGUUGCUGCUGGAA
rnacentral:rRNA from 1 species